rnacentral:rRNA from 1 species
GGUUUCCGUAGGUGAACCUGCGGAAGGAUCAUUAUUGAAUAAACCUGAUGUGGCUGUUAGCUGGCUUUUCGAAGCAUGUGCUCGCCCGUCAUCUUUAUACCUCCACCUGUGCACCUUUUGUAGUCUUGGAUACCUCUCGAGGCAACUCGGAUUUUAGGAUCGCCAUGCUGGCUUUCCUUGCAUUUCCAAGACUAUGUUUUUAUAUACACCAAAGUAUGUUUAAAGAAUGUCAUCAAUAGGGACUUGUUUCCUAUAAAAACUAUACAACUUUCAGCAACGGAUCUCUUGGCUCUCGCAUCGAUGAAGAACGCAGCGAAAUGCGAUAAGUAAUGUGAAUUGCAGAAUUCAGUGAAUCAUCGAAUCUUUGAACGCACCUUGCGCUCCUUGGUAUUCCGAGGAGCAUGCCUGUUUGAGUGUCAUUAAAUUCUCAACCUUCCAGCUUUUAUUAGCUUGGUUAGGCUUGGAUGUGGGGGUUGCAGGCUUCACUUAUGAGGUCAGCUCUCCUUAAAUGCAUUAGUGGAACUUUUGUGGACCGUCUAUUGGUGUGAUAAUUAUCUACGCCGUGGAUGUGAAGCAGCUUUAUAAAGUUCAGCUUCUAACAGUCCAUUGACUUGGACAAUUUUUGACAAUUUGACCUCAAAUCAGGUAGGACUACCCGCUGAACUUAAGCAUAUCAA